GCCCAAUACAAUUUAUCUCCCUCGCCCUCCCCCUGUGUCGUCGAUCGUUGCUCGGCCGGUGUCGCUUCUCCUCCGCACCUGAUUCUGCGACGAGCACGCCGUAAGUUAAAGGAUUUGAUUCUCGAGAUGGCGUCAAAGUUAGUACAACUUCAAUCAAAGGCAUGUCAGGCUUCGAAAUUUGUGGCCAAGCAUGGGACUUCCUACUACAAGCAGCUGUUGGAGCAAAACAAGCAAUAUAUUCAGGAGCCGGCCACCUUGGAGAAAUGCAAUGAGUUGUCUAAGCAAUUGUUUUACACCCGUCUGGCUAGCAUCCCCGGGCGAUGUGAAUCGUUCUGGAAGGAAGUGGACCAAGUCAAGGGUUUAUGGAAGAACAGAGCGGACCUGAAGGUGGAAGAUGCCGGGAUUGCUGCUUUGUUCGGACUCGAAUGCUUCGCUUGGUUUUGCGCAGGUGAAAUCGUCGGCAGGGGAUUCACCUUCACCGGAUACUACCCUUGAAGGGGAUUCACCCUUUCUAUUGUAAGCUCCUCUCUUUCAAAUUUCCUUCCUGUGAUUGAUCACAGCCAUUUUCGUAUUCCUUCUUUCCCUAAAAGCAGGGUUUUUGACUCUUCUUGGUAUAAGAUUUUGUCCUCAAUAAGAAAAAAUUUUCCAAGCGAAGUUUGUAUUUAUGUGGAGGAGCUUUGAUUAGAUAGAGACUAAUGUCGGGAAAUAAAAUGGUCGCUAACGUCCGUC